rnacentral:rRNA from 1 species
AGUGAACGCUGGCGGCAGGCCUAACACAUGCAAGUCGAGCGGUAGAGAGGUGCUUGCACCUCUUGAGAGCGGCGGACGGGUGAGUAAAGCCUAGGAAUCUGCCUGGUAGUGGGGGAUAACGCUCGGAAACGGACGCUAAUACCGCAUACGUCCUACGGGAGAAAGCAGGGGGACCUUCGGGCCUUGCGCUAUCAGAUGAG